UUCAGUGUGGUGCAAUGGCUAGCAUACCUCACUUUCAAAAUUCUUAACCAGAGACCCGAGGAGGUUGAGGUUCGAUUCCCCGCACCGAAG